rnacentral:rRNA from 1 species
UAACCUACCUUGAUCUGGGGGAUAGCCUCUCGAAAGAGAGAUUAACACCGCAUAACAUCACAUUACAGCAUUGUAGCGUGAUCAAAUAUUUAUAGGAUCAAGAUGGACAUGCGGGACAUUAGCUAGUUGGCGGGGUAACGGCCCACCAAGGCGACGAUGUCUAGGGGAUCUGAGAGGAUGACCCCCCACACUGGUACUGAGACACGGACCAG